GUGAGCUCGAUGAGUAGGGCGGGACACGUGGUAUCCUGUCUGAAUAUGGGGGGACCAUCCUCCAAGGCUAAAUACUCCUGACUGACCGAUAGUGAACCAGUACCGUGAGGGAAAGGCGAAAAGAACCCCGGCGAGGGGAGUGAAAAAGAACCUGAAACCGUGUACGUACAAGCAGUGGGAGCACGCUUAGGCGUGUGACUGCGUACCUUUUGUAUAAUGGGUCAGCGACUUAUAUUCUGUAGCAAGGUUAACCGAAUAGGGGAGCCGAAGGGAAACCGAGUCUUAACUGGGCGUUAAGUUGCAGGGUAUAGACCCGAAACCCGGUGAUCUAGCCAUGGGCAGGUUGAAGGUUGGGUAACACUAACUGGAGGACCGAACCGACUAAUGUUGAAAAAUUAGCGGAUGACUUGUGGCUGGGGGUGAAAGGCCAAUCAAACCGGGAGAUAGCUGGUUCUCCCCGAAAGCUAUUUAGGUAGCGCCUCGUGAAUUCAUCUCCGGGGGUAGAGCACUGUUUCGGCAAGGGGGUCAUCCCGACUUACCAACCCGAUGCAAACUGCGAAUACCGGAGAAUGUUAUCACGGGAGACACACGGCGGGUGCUAACGUCCGUCGUGAAGAGGGAAACAACCCAGACCGCCAGCUAAGGUCCCAAAGUCAUGGUUAAGUGGGAAACGAUGUGGGAAGGCCCAGACAGCCAGGAUGUUGGCUUAGAAGCAGCCAUCAUUUAAAGAAAGCGUAAUAGCUCACUGGUCGAGUCGGCCUGCGCGGAAGAUGUAACGGGGCUAAACCAUGCACCGAAGCUGCGGCAGCGACGCUGAUGCGUUGUUGGGUAGGGGAGCGUUCUGUAAGCCUGCGAAGGUGUGCUGUGAGGCAUGCUGGAGGUAUCAGAAGUGCGAAUGCUGACAUAAGUAACGAUAAAGCGGGUGAAAAGCCCGCUCGCCGGAAGACCAAGGGUUCCUGUCCAACGUUAAUCGGGGCAGGGUGAGUCGACCCCUAAGGCGAGGCCGAAAGGCGUAGUCGAUGGGAAACAGGUUAAUAUUCCUGUACUUGGUGUUACUGCGAAGGGGGGACGGAGAAGGCUAUGUUGGCCGGGCGACGGUUGUCCCGGUUUAAGCGUGUAGGCUGGUUUUCCAGGCAAAUCCGGAAAAUCAAGGCUGAGGCGUGAUGACGAGGCACU
rnacentral:rRNA from 1 species